AGUGAACGCUGGCGGCAUGCCUAACACAUGCAAGUCGAACGGUAACAGGCCCGCAAGGGUGCUGACGAGUGGCGGACGGGUGAGGAAUACAUCGGAAUUUGCCCAGUCGUGGGGGAGUAACGUAGGGAAACUUACGCUAAUACCGCAUACGACCUAACGGUGAAAGCGGGGACGUCGCAAGAGCCUCGCGCGGAUGGAUAAGCCGAUGUCGGAUUAGCUAGUUGGCGGGGUAAGAGCCCACCAAGGCGACGAUCCGUAGCUGGUCUGAGAGGAUGAUCAGCCACACUGGGACUGAGACACGGCCCAGACUCCUACGGGAGGCAGCAGUGGGGAAUAUUGGACAAUGGGGGCAACCCUGAUCCAGCAAUGCCGCGUGUGUGAAGAAGGCCU
rnacentral:rRNA from 1 species